AUACAAGGCCACGAAUCUCUGGAAUUAGUGGUUCGGACAUUUCAUCGAACACCUUUUGGGCGCGGAGAUGUCUGGGCUCAAAUUCCAGUUGAUCAGAAAGCAAUAGGCAUUAAAAACAACUAAUCUAGAAGGGAUCUAUCAAUCAAUACUCAAUCACCUAGCAUACUGAGAAUUCUACACUACUCUAACCCAUCCUCAGAAACCUAUUCACUACUCAGACAUCAUAGCAGAAAGUAUAAACGUUGAACAAGAUGAAAACAUGAUAACGACAGUGUAACAGCAGGAUGAUAACGGAAUGAACAACAAUAAACGAAAAUCAAGAACAAAUACUGAAUACUGGAUAGAUAAAGAGAAAUCCGGAUUACAAAGGUCUAGAACAUAGUGUCUGCGGAAAUAAACUAGAUAAAAACUUGUUUGCGAAAAUGUGAAGUACAUCCUACUUAUAGCCAAAUAUUCUGAAACCCUAAUACUUAAAACGACAAAGUAUUAGGACGGAUUAAGAACUGUACCUGACCCAUGUGGUUGAGUGAAUAGCUGGAGUCUUCUUUUCUUCCUUGUGCUCGAGUGUCUGGUUGAGUGCGGAAUGAAGAAGACUCUGAAGCUCGCAAUCGAGUAUGUAGUCGAGUGGUGGUUAUGGUGAUAUUCGACUUCAAGGUAGAGUGGUGAGAUCGAGUAGUGGUCUGGUAAUGGAGGUGAAGACACUCGACCUUGGGGUCGAGUGAUGUGAUCGAGUGAUGGUCAUGUGAUGGGGAUGAAGACACUCGACCUCGCGGUCGAGUGGUGAGGUGAAGUGGUGAUGUCCUCUAGUCGACCAGGGGGUCGAGUGGUCUGCUGAGGUUGUGAAGCUUCUACUCGACCAGGGGGUCGAGUGGUUUUGCAUGAUCAAGUCCGCUUCUUCCAAUUAGCUCGUCAACAGCUCCGAAUCACCUGAAAACAACACAAAUAUGCAACAUGCAUGCAAAACUAUCCUAAACAUGGAAAGUGAUGACAAAUGAUGAGAAAUGGUAUAAAACAGUGAUGAUAUGAUGCUAAAGUGAUGACAAAUGGAUGCUCAAAACAUGCAAAAUACACACUUAUCAACUCCCCCAAACUUAGUCUUUGCUUGCCCUCAAGCAAACAAUCAAGAACAAGCUGGAGGUGAGGUUUGAAAGCGGGGACUCAGAGCCAAAGCACCAGAUAAACCAGAUGAAAUCAAUGUCCAAGUUGAAAGUUCUAAGCUGCAAUAUGAUCAAAUUCUACUUAAAAACGUUAGCCAUGCCUCAUUAUCAAUCAAUCCGACUCAUAUACUCGACCUACACAUGUUUUCAAAUCUACCAAUCCCUUUAACAUUCAUUAGUUCUGGAACGUGAAUCAAGCAAUGCAUCAUCAAUGAACUCAUUUGGCUAAGGUAAAAGGUCAAGAGACAAAGAUGAUCCCUUAUAGAAUAUGCUUCAGUAAAAGGGGAUCUCUCAAAAAAUGAUUAAGCUUUAUUAGAAUGCUAAAGGUAAGUCCCAAGCUAUGCAUAUAGAGAUAAGAUCCCAUCUACCCAGAAUAUAUCAAAUGAAGCUCUAAUGGUAAUCCCAACUCCAAUCCCAAUACAAGAACUUAACUCUACCCUUUGCAUUCAUGAAUCUUUUAAAGCCUUUUUCUAAUCAUUCUUUUCUUUUCUCUUAACUCUAGGAGAAGCUUUCUCAACACUUUGAUACAUCUAGCGGAUUUAGAUUUCUUUAACAACUAAGAUUCAUGUUUU
rnacentral:sRNA from 1 species